UACGAAGGGUGCAAGCGUUAAUCGGAAUUACUGGGAGUAAAGGGUGCGUAGGCGGUUCGUUAAGUCUGUCGUGAAAUCCCCGGGCUCAACCUGGGAAUGGCGAUGGAUACUGGCGAGCUAGAGUGUGUCAGAGGAUGGUGGAAUUCCCGGUGUAGCGGUGAAAUGCGUAGAGAUCGGGAGGAACAUCAGUGGCGAAGGCGGCCAUCUGGGACAACACUGACGCUGAAGCACGAAAGCGUGGGGAGCAAACAGG
rnacentral:rRNA from 1 species